GUGCUUUGAAAGCAAGAAAGUGAAGAAGUGUGAACUAGGAUGCAAAAGAAAGUAAUCCCUGUGCUUUCUGUCUCUGUGGCAGCCCAGAUUGAAUUGGGAAAUAUGUCG
rnacentral:snoRNA from 1 species